rnacentral:rRNA from 1 species
AGUCAACCUACCCUAUGGACGGGAAUAAUCUCGGGAAACUGAGGAUAAUUCCAGAUAGAACACUAUGCCUGGAACGGUUUGUGUUCCAAAUGAUUUAUCGCCGUAGGAUGGGACUGCGUCCUAUCAGUUUGUUGGUGAGGUAAUGGCCCACCAAGACUAUUACAGGUACGGGCUCUGAGAGGAGUAGCCCGGAGAUGGGUACUGAGACACGGACCCAGGCCCUAUGGGGCGCAGCGGGCGAGAAAACUUUGCAAUGUGCGAAAGCACGACAAGGUUAAUCCGAGUGGUUCCUGCUAAAGGAACCUUUUGACGGUCCUAAAAACACCGUUGAAUAAGGGGUGGGCAAGUUCUGGUGUCAGCCGCCGCGGUAAAACCAGCACCUCAAGUGGUCAGGAUGAUUAUUGGGCCUAAAGCAUCCGUAGCCGGCUCUGUGAGUUUUCGGUUAAAUCUGUGCGCUCAACGUACAGGCUGCCGGGAAUACUGCAGAGCUAGGGAGUGGGAGAGGUAGACGGUACUUGGUAGGAAGGGGUAAAAUCCUUUGAUCUAUUGAUGACCACCUGUGGCGAAGGCGGUCUACCAGAACACGUCCGACGGUGAGGGAUGAAAGCUGGGGGAGCAAACCGGAUUAGAUACCCGGGUAGUCCCAGCUGUAAACCAUGCAAACUCAAUGAUGCAUUGGCUUGAAGCCAAUGCAGUGUU